UUUUGCACACAUGCACAUGCACCAAACUCCUCCCUGGCCACGCCUCCAUCUGAAUAUGCAAAUGUAUUCAAAUCGUUUGGUUGUGUCGUGCUGACGGCACCAUAAGUGUAGAGUGUUGUGUGUUUGAUGAUGCCCGCCAUUGUAUGACAGAAGCUGCAG